rnacentral:rRNA from 1 species
AACGAACGCUGGCGGCGUGCCUAACACAUGCAAGUCGAACGUGAAAAGGCUUCGGCCUGAGUAAAGUGGCGCACGGGUGAGUAACGCGUGGGUAAUCUGCCUCUGGGCGGGGGAUAACGGGUCGAAAGACCCGCUAAUACCGCAUGAGACCACGGCCCUGUGGGGCUGUGGGAAAAGAUGGGGAUCUUCGGACCUGUCACCUGGAGAUGAGCCCGCGUACCAUUAGGUAGUUGGUGGGGGUAAUGGCCCACCAAGCCGAAGAUGGUUAGCUGGUCUGAGAGGAUGAUCAGCCACACUGGAACUGAGACACGGUCCAGACUCCUACGGGAGGCAGCAGUGGGGAAUAUUGCGCAAUGGGGGAAACCCUGACGCAGCAACGCCGCGUGUGUGAUGAAGGCCUUCGGCGUAAAGCACUGUGAGGUGGAACGAGCCGCCGGGGGUUAAUACCCUCCGGCCCGACGGUACCACCAG